UACGAAGGGGGCUAGCGUUGCUCGGAAUCACUGGGCGUAAAGCGCACGUAGGCGGCUUCUUAAGUCAGGGGUGAAAUCCUGGAGCUCAACUCCAGAACUGCCUUUGAUACUGAGGAGCUUGAGUCCGGGAGAGGUGAGUGGAACUGCGAGUGUAGAGGUGAAAUUCGUAGAUAUUCGCAAGAACACCAGUGGCGAAGGCGGCUCACUGGCUCGGUACUGACGCUGAGGUGCGAAAGCGUGGGGAGCAAACAGG
rnacentral:rRNA from 1 species